CGAACUCUGGUAUUGAUUGGUGCUCGCAUCAUGAUUUACAUUUGAGUGAGUGGCGAACUGGUGAGUAACACGUGGGAAACCUGCCCAGAAGCGGGGGAUAACACCUGGAAACAGAUGCUAAUACCGCAUAACAACUUGGACCGCAUGGUCCGAGUUUGAAAGAUGGCUUCGGCUAUCACUUUUGGAUGGUCCCGCGGCGUAUUAGCUAGAUGGUGGGGUAACGGCUCACCAUGGCAAUGAUACGUAGCCGACCUGAGAGGGUAAUCGGCCACAUUGGGACUGAGACACGGCCCAAACUCCUACGGGAGGCAGCAGUAGGGAAUCUUCCACAAUGGACGAAAGUCUGAUGGAGCAACGCCGCGUGAGUGAAGAAGGGUUUCGGCUCGUAAAACUCUGUUGUUAAAGAAGAACAUAUCUGAGAGUAACUGUUCAGGUAUUGACGGUAUUUAACCAGAAAGCCACGGCUAACUACGUGCCAGCAGCCGCGGUAAUACGUAGGUGGCAAGCGUUGUCCGGAUUUAUUGGGCGUAAAGCGAGCGCAGGCGGUUUUUUAAGUCUGAUGUGAAAGCCUUCGGCUCAACCGAAGAAGUGCAUCGGAAACUGGGAAACUUGAGUGCAGAAGAGGACAGUGGAACUCCAUGUGUAGCGGUGAAAUGCGUAGAUAUAUGGAAGAACACCAGUGGCGAACGCGGCUGUCUGGUCUGUAACUGACGCUGAGGCUCGAAAGUAUGGGUAGCAACAGGAUUAGAUACCCUGGUAGUCCAUACCGUAACGAUGAUGCUAGUGUUGGAGGGUUUCCGCCCUUCAGUGCUGCAGCUACGCAUAGCAUC
rnacentral:rRNA from 2 species